rnacentral:miRNA from 1 species
AGUGGAUAUGGGGUGGUACUGUG